rnacentral:sRNA from 1 species
AAUUUUUGCUGUUGUGAUCUCAUUUCCCAUAAGAAAUCUUAAUUACCGGUAUUAUUGAAAUGCAUCUUCACACAUUCAGCAUACUUUGCAAGGCAAUAUGACAGUUGCCUUCACCUUUUAGAAAGGAAUAUUAAUAAUAGUUAAUCUACCUUGAUUUUGCUUAUAAUUUGAACUGCCAUUGAAACCAUCAAAUUUAAUGAUUUUUAUCUACUAUACAUAGGGAUACGGCUUUUUACAAUGCAUCCACAAUCAUUUUUUAAAGUGUCUGUUUUGAUGAGGACAUGACACUGACUUUUCAGAUCCUGAGAAUUAUCUCCUUAAAUGACUUCUUACACUUGGUGUCUUACAGUAUGGUACUUCUUCUUUAUGAUGUACAAACUUGUUAAGUAUUGAGGGGGGUGUUUGAAAUAUCAUAAAUGUCAUCAAUAAAAAAAAAAGUCCUGUUGACAAUAAAACAGCUGUGAAAUUGGUAAACUUCAGUGGGUAUGCCUUACCCCAAGGAAUUUAUGUCCUAAUGAUCCUAGGUACUUUCUUUUUGUUUUGUACUUGAAUUGUGAUUUAUUAUAGCCCUGCUCAAAAGGAGAGGGGGGUAUGUUGUUAUAUUCAAGAAGAAUAGGUAGGGACUAAAUCAUUGCAUUCCCAUACCAUUCAUUUUGGACAAAUCCUGGGAGGUAGUACUCAUGAAUUUGAAUGUUUUUACAGUGCUAUGUGAUAUGAAAAUAAGGGACCAGUCUUGAAUUUGAGAAGACAAUCUGGUAUACACUGACUUGUAAUAAGAUAUAAUUGAGGCAAUCAUCUUUUUCUGAAAAAUAAGAAAUGUUUGAAUGAAGUUGGGACAAACAAUAUUUAAUAUUUUAUUUAUUGCAUGCUUAUGUACUCGUUUCAAACAAUGCAUUUUUCAAUGAUUAGGGAAUUUCAACAAAACAAUAAAUAAGAAAGAAUAU